AGAGUUUGAUCCUGGCUCAGAUGGACGCUGGCGGCAUGCUUACACAGCAAAGUCGAACGGCAGCACGGAGAGCUUGCUCUUCUGUGGCGAGUGGCGAACGGGUGAGUAAUGCAUCGGAAACGUAACGAGUAAUGGGGAUUACUGUCCGGAAGGAUGGAUAAUUUCCGCAUACGUCCUGAGGAGAAAAGCGAGGAGAAUUUAGUGACCUCGCGUUAUUUGAGCGGCCGAUGUUGGAUUAGCUAGUUGGUGGGGUAAAGGCCUACCAAGGCGACGAUCCAUAGCGGGUCUGAGAGGAUGAUCCGCCACAUUGGGACUGAGACACGGCCCAAACUCCUACGGGAGGCAGCAGUGGGGAAUUUUGGACAAUGGGGGGAACCCUGAUCCAGCCAUGCCGCGUGUCUGAAGAAGGCCUUCGGGUUGUAAAGGACUUUUGUUAGAGAAGAAAAGCCGGGUGUUAAUACCACCUGGUGCUGACGGUACAUAAAGAAUAAGCACCGGCUAAAUACGUGCCAGCAGCCGCGUAAUUACGUAGGGUCCGAGCGUUAAUCGGAAUUACGGGGCGUAAAGCGAGCCCAGCCGUUUAAACAAGUCAGAUGUGAAAUCCCCGAGCUCAACUUGGGACGGCCAUUUGAAACUUGUUAACUAGAGUGGGUCAGAGGGAGGUAGAAUUCCACGGGUAGCAGGGAAAUGGGUAGAGAUUGGGAGGAAUCCCGAGGGGGAAGGCAGCCUCUUGGGAUCACACUGACGUUCAGGCUGGAAAGCGGGGGUACCAACCAGGAUUAGAUCCCUUGGUAGUCCACGCCUUAAACGAUGACAAUUAGCUGUUGGCACCCUAGAUGUUUUGGUAGGGAAGUAACCGCGUGAACUUGUCCCCUGGGGGAGUCCGGUCCCAGGUUUAAAACUCAAAUGAAUUGACGG
rnacentral:rRNA from 2 species